rnacentral:rRNA from 1 species
ACACAUGCAGUCGAACGGGCGCCUUCGGGGUUAGUGGCGGACGGGUGAGUAACACGUGGGAACGUGCCUUUUGGUUCGGAAUAGCUCCUGGAAACGGGUGGUAAUGCCGAAUGUGCCCUUCGGGGGAAAGAUUUAUCGCCAUUAGAGCGGCCCGCGUCUGAUUAGCUAGUUGGUGAGGUAAAGGCUCACCAAGGCGACGAUCAGUAGCUGGUCUGAGAGGAUGACCAGCCACAUUGGGACUGAGACACGGCCCAAACUCCUACGGGAGGCAGCAGUGGGGAAUCUUGCGCAAUGGGCGAAAGCCUGACGCAGCCAUGCCGCGUGAAUGAUGAAGGUCUUAGGAUUGUAAAAUUCUUUCACCGGGGACGAUAAUGACGGUACCCGGAGAAGAAGCCCCGGCUAACUUCGUGCCAGCAGCCGCGGUAAUACGAAGGGGGCUAGCGUUGCUCGGAAUUACUGGGCGUAAAGGGAGCGUAGGCGGACAUUUAAGUCAGGGGUGAAAUCCCAGAGCUCAACUCUGGAACUGCCUUUGAUACUGGGUGUCUUGAGUGUGAUAGAGGUAUGUGGAACUCCGAGUGUAGAGGUGAAAUUCGUAGAUAUUCGGAAGAACACCAGUGGCGAAGGCGACAUACUGGAUCAUUACUGACGCUGAGGCUCGAAAGCGUGGGGAGCAAACAGGAUUAGAUACCCUGGUAGUCCACGCCGUAAACGAUGAUUGCUAGUUGUCGGGAUGUUUACAUCUCGGUGACGCAGCU